UUUCAUUAAAUGGACAUUUGAAUCAGCUGCAUAACACUGUUUAAAGACACUCGACAUGCUAUUUUGUCGCUAGAUUGAGCUUUUUUUUUGUUUUUUGAGCUUGCACAGCAUCUACAAUGUCCCAGUCUAGUGAUGAGCACACUCCUACAGUCACAACGGACCUGGAUGAUGUUCAAGUGAAAAUGUGGAUUGCUUCCGACAAAAUAACCCUGUGCAACAAGAUCCUGGAUGAUUUGAAAGACCUGGAUGGUGUCAUAAAGAUGAAAUCUCUCCAGGAUGUCACCCUGCUGCCACAAAAUGAACCCAAGUGAUUUCAUGUUGAAAUGAUAAUAAAAAUGCACACAUUUGCUGUGA